rnacentral:tRNA from 1 species
GGGGAUAUAGCUCAGUUGGUAGACUGUUUGCCUGCCAUGCAUAAUUCCCUGGGUUCAAUUGCCAGCAUCACCA